rnacentral:rRNA from 1 species
AUCGGUGACAGGUGGCGCAUGGUUGUCGUCAGCUCGUGUCGUGAGAUGUUGGGUUAAGUCCCGCAACGAGCGCAACCCCUAUUGUUAGUUGCCAUCAUUCAGUUGGGCACUCUAGCGAGACUGCCGGUAAUAAACCGGAGGAAGGUGGGGAUGACGUCAAAUCAUCAUGCCCCUUAUGACCUGGGCUACACACGUGCUACAAUGGUUGGUACAACGAGUUGCGAGUCGGUGACGGCGAGCUAAUCUCUUAAAGCCAAUCUCAGUUCGGAUUGUAGGCUGCAACUCGCCUACAUGAAGUCGGAAUCGCUAGUAAUCGCGGAUCAGCACGCCGCGGUCGAAUACGUUCCCGGGCCUU